UGGUACAUCCCAGUUAAAGUUUCAUCUAGAGGAACAAUGCAAGAAGAGUCCAAUAUUAAGAUCUUUACUGAAGAAGAGUCAAUCUAGACUAGAAACUUAACUGAAAAAAAUGAUGGAUGGGAGUAGUGGAGGUCCAACAUUGAAGGGGUAUACAAAGUAUAAUGCUGAUGAGUGUAGAAGGAAAUUAGCUCGUAUGGUUAUCAUAGACGAGCUACCUUUUCAGUUUGUGCAUGGGAGAGGGUUCCAAGAAUUUGUCCAAGAAUUGGAACCUAAGAUAUUAAAAAGAUGUACUGGAAAGAUAAAGAUGUUUUAAGGGGCCAACUAGCGGGUUUGGUAGUUUGCCUCACUACCAAUACUUUGUUGUGAAGACUGUAGACAUAACAUCAAAGAAUGGUCUUUGUACUGAUGUUCCUACCAGAUGAAACUCAACCUUUUUGAUGUUGGAGGCGGCCCAAGAAUAUAAGGCAGCCUUUCAAUUAUUGGGUGAUGAAGACAUUCAAUAUGUUAAAUACUUUGAUGAGCACGAGGGUUUAUGAAUGUCUAAUGAUGAUGAUUGGGAGGUAGUUGCUACUUUUGUUGAUUUUCUCGAACCUUUUUACGAUAGCACGUUGAAGUUAUCUGCUUAUUUGCACCCUACAUCCCAUGAAUUUUGUCAACAAAUAUGUAGGGUGCAAAUAAGAAUUAGACGACAUGUGUAGGGAUUCCAAUCUAAGGAUGAGGAGGAUGACAUUGACCAUGAGUGUCAAAUAUGACAAGUGUUGUAGAGAUUUGACUAGACUAAAUAUUUUGUUAUAUGUGGUUGUUAUUUUUGAUUCUGUCUAAAAAUUUCAGGUAUGUUAUAUGGUUUGGGACUUGCGCAUGAUUAGGCAUAGACUGAUCUUAUUGGUGAGAUGGCCCGAGAUACACUUUAUAAAUUUUAUGAUGAGUUUAAUGCAAUUAAGGGUGGUAUUACAUCUACUACACCUACCCCAACACCUCCUCCAGACACCGGGGUAACAAAGAAGCAUAGAUUGGCAUGGAUUAAGACCCUCACACAUAAUCCCACACUAGUCCAUCAAUCUACAGAGGUAGCAUCAAAGAAAUAUCCCAUAUUUUCUGAGAUUGCCUGAAUUGUGUUGGCCAUCCCUAUUAGCACCGUUGUCUCGGAGUCUGCCUUUAGUACCAAAUGGCGCAUAUUGGAUCCUUUCUGUAAUUCAUUGUCUCCUACAACUAUGGAGACAUUUAUAUGCACACAGAGUUGGACGAUAGAAAAUUAUAUUUAUGUUCCGGAUGUUUUAGAUUUUAAAGAAACUGACGAAGAGGCUGGUGAUCAAUUUGGAUCUGCACCAUCUGAACCACAUGAGACGACUCAGACGAUGUCUACCUCCAUUGCAAUAUGAAUAUGUGCUCAAGCCUCAAAAGACUACCUAUCCGACCGCCCCAAAUGUCACAGUCAAAAACCCAAACAGGUCGCCUCUUUUUUUAGAUUAUUAAUUUUUUAGAAUAUUGAAAUUUGA